GUAACGAACAGACGAACUCACUCACUCAGUACUCACUCCCCACUCCUCAUAAAGUCAUUCCGAUUUAGGGUUUAGCAUUAGCAUUCCGAUAGUUUCACAAAUUCCGGGCAAACGAAGACCAAAUACAGAAAGAGAUCGGCUGCUGUUGCGAUAGUUUCACAAAUUCAGAAAGAGAUCGAUGUUGUUGCAAGUGACUUUAAAGAAUCAAAAUUCAAAGGACACGGGUUUCUACAAGAUGAUUGAGAUAGGGAGGCUGCAACUCGAUUGGUCUUUAGCCAUGGCCCUAAUAGAGCGGUGGCGAGCGCAAACGCACACAUUACACCUGUCCAUUGGCGAGGCCACCGUCACACUGCAGGACAUGGAGGUUUUAUAUGGGCUGCCCAUUGCUCUACCGCCUGGCAUGAGAAAGAUGACACUUGUGCAGUACCUGGACAUGCUGCAGCGGCUCACUGCUUUCUGGCCAGAGGAUGAGAAUGUACUGUAUGGGACCAGUCAUUUUCUGUUGAUGACUAUUCGACUGUGGUUGGAGGCAUUGCAUCCUCAGAUCGAUGGCGAUACACCGGAUUAUCAUGUUGAACGGUAUACGAGGUUGCUGCUACUCUUGUUGUUUGGGGGGGUCUUGUUCUCGAACACUUCGAGAAACCUAGUCAGCUUGCGAUUUAUUCAUCAUCUUGAGCGGGUAGAUGAUUUACCCCAGUACAGCUGGGCUCUGCUGUUCUCGCCUACUUGUACUGGCAUAUGUGUCGGGCGAUCAUGGGAACCCAACGUGAGGUUGUUGGAUUCUUGCCGCUACUACAGGUUUGGGUCUGGGAGCGAUUUCUGCAGUUGCAGCCACCUCUACCACCAUUAGAUCCAAAUGUACCACCGGAGUUGCUCCCUCUAGCUAGGAGGUGGGUACUCCAACAAGUACAUACGCGCGAGUACGAGGCUCGGCAUAAUCUCUCAUUGUGUAGGGAUAUACUGGAUUUGCUGGACGGCGCAUAGUUCAUCUGGACGCCAUACAGUGACGCAUUGAUAGUUGCCUUGCCCGAUUAUUGCUUGGCCGACCGACUUAUGUGGGGCUCUUCUGUCCCGUUGUUCUGCCUUGAUAUUGUGGAGCAUCAUGUCACCGAGCGAGUACUUUGCCAGUUUGGCAAGCCGCAUAUCGUACCAACAUCGACCACCUGGGAGACCACACAUUACAAGCGGGAUGAUUGUACCAGGGUGGACGACCAAUAUUUGGCAUGGAUACAAGAUCAGAUAUUUACUUGGGACCAGCGAUUUCACCUGAUUCCGCCCCCCUUCACCAAGUCACAGGAUACUGAGCAUGAUUAUAUGCCUUGGUACCGUGGCGUUACCCGACUUUUCGUCGGGAACCCCAUUCAUCGAGCUGGCAGUCGGCACGUUCCAUACGCCGGGAGGCACGAGGCACUGGCUAUUGGUCUACAUUUAGUCCACCAGUUGGGACUGCAGAUGCAACAACAUGCCGGCGAUCCUGCGAUCGCUUUGCAGGAGUAUGGCCGGCAGAUUACAGAGCUGGCUGCCCGGACACUACAUCGAGCUAGAGAGGACGAGCGCUUAGAGUAUGUCCCUGCUUUUGUGGCGCCAGAGCACUACCAUCAAGGUAUGCCUGUCCCACGAGCGAGGGGACGACGAGGCAGGGUUGUCCCACGAGGCAGGGCUAUCCCACGGGGUCGUGGAGGCCAUCGAGGAGGUGGUCCCCAGCAAGGGGGCGUUGAGGUGCCUUGAUGAGGAUGUUGGAGAUGAUCUGUCGGAUGACCUCCAUCAUCCAUACUAGUAUCCCAGCAGCAUGCCGUCGUACAACCUUCAGCUGGAGUUCAAUCCAGCCGCAUCGCAGAUGAUCCCGUUAGGUUCAUUGUUGAUCAAGGGCACGAGCAUUACCGGACAUGAUUGAGAGCAGAUGUUUUCAAGCCUAUCGACCGCUGCUGCGGAUCGGCCGACCCGAGAUGUGGAUGGUGGGCGCCGACUGAGUUAUGGCUCAUCGUCGACGGGUGGUGUGGAUCUUUCACAGGCGCAUAUAUGCUUCAUCCCAGCCCGUCACGGAGGCAACUUUGUGCGAUGCUGAGCAGGAUGCGACGGAUGCUUAUAUUCAGGAGCCCGACGAAAUCAUGGUAAGAAAUUUUUUUAACUUAACACAUACAUUACUAAUAUAUAUUUUCUUAUAUUGAGCUACCGACGAUCAUACUGCAACGCAUCCUCAUAUAAAGAGGCGACGUAAUAAGGAUGAUCCUGAUAGCGUAUCUGGGCGGGAUGGGAUACGCCUCAGGCCAGCGGCUGCAUUGAAGCACACAAGCUGUGGGACACAUUGAUUUUCUUUUUUUUUGUAUUUUAUGUACGCUAUGUAAAUAUUAUUUUAUGUAAGUAAUAACAACAAUUUUUUAUGCUUACAUAAUA